CUGAAAGUCCUCCAAAGCCUUCUUGAGUCAUAGAGGGAGCAUAGAAUGGGUGAUGACCUGGCACCAAUCCUGCCUUUGCUGCUUACCAACCACACGGGCUGAAGUCAGCCUGCCUCUUUGGAGCAUCAGUUUCUUCUUCUGUAAAAUAGCAUGACACAGCACCUGCUUUGCAUCCCUCAUAGGCUUGUUGAGAUGUUCAAAGGAGAGCGUGACCAUAUCUUGUUUCAGACAUGUGAUACACUCAUGCCCAUCUGUGUCUUGCCAGCCAUUGACUGUGAGCUCACCGAGUGGUCCCAGUGGUCGGAAUGUAACAAGUCAUGUGGGAAAGGCCACGUGAUUCGAACCCGGAUGAUCCAAAUGGAGCCUCAGUUUGGAGGUGCACCCUGCCCAGAGACUGUGCAGCGAAAAAAGUGCCGCAUCCGAAAAUGCCUUCGAAAUCCAUCCAUCCAGAAGCUACGCUGGAGGGAGGCCCGAGAGAGCCGGCGGAGUGAGCAGCUGAAGGAAGAGUCUGAAGGGGAGCAGUUCCCAGGUUGUAGGAUGCGCCCAUGGACGGCCUGGUCAGAAUGCACCAAACUGUGCGGAGGUGGAAUUCAGGAACGUUACAUGACUGUAAAGAAGAGAUUCAAAAGCUCCCAGUUUACCAGCUGCAAAGACAAGAAGGAGAUCAGAGCAUGCAAUGUUCAUCCUUGUUAGCAAGGGUACGAGUUCCCCAGGGCUGCACUCUAGAUUCCAGAGUCACCAAUGGCUGGAUUAUUUGCUCGUUUAAGACAAUUUAAAUUGUGUACACUAGUUUUCAUUUUUGCAGUGUGGUUCGCCCAGUAGUCUUGUGGAUGUCAGAGACAUCCUUUCUGAAUACUUCUUGAUGGGUACAGGCUGAGUGGGGCGCCCUCACCUCCAGCCAGCCUCUUCCUGCAGAGGAGUAGUGUCAGCCACCUUGUACUAAACUGAAACAUGUCCCUCUGGAGCUUCCACCUGGCCAGGCAGGAUGGAGACUUUGACCUACUC
rnacentral:sRNA from 1 species